rnacentral:rRNA from 1 species
UGGGGGAAUUUUGGACAAUGGGCGAAAGCCUGAUCCAGCAAUGCCGCGUGUGUGAAGAAGGCCUUCGGGUUGUAAAGCACUUUUGUCCGGAAAGAAAUCCUUGGCUCUAAUACAGUCGGGGGAUGACGGUACCGGAAGAAUAAGCACCGGCUAACUACGUGCCAGCAGCCGCGGUAAUACGUAGGGUGCAAGCGUUAAUCGGAAUUACUGGGCGUAAAGCGUGCGCAGGCGGUUUGCUAAGACCGAUGUGAAAUCCCGGGCUCAACCUGGGAACUGCAUUGGUGACUGGCAGGCUAGAGUAUGGCAGAGGGGGGUAGAAUUCCACGUGUAGCAGUGAAAUGCGUAGAGAUGUGGAGGAAUACCGAUGGCGAAGGCAGCCCCCUGGGCAAUACUGACGCUCAUGCACGAAAAGCGUGGGGGAGCAAACAGGAUUAGAUACCCUGGGUAGUCCACGCCCUAAACGAUGUCAACUAGUUGUUGGGGACUUCAUUUUCCUUAGUAACGUAGCUAACGCGUGAAGUUGACCGCCUGGGGAGUACGGUCGCAAGAUU